rnacentral:rRNA from 1 species
UACGGAGGAUGCAAGCGUUAUCCGGAAUUAUUGGGCGUAAAGCGUCCGCAGGUGGCAAUGUAAGUCUGCUGUUAAAGAGUCUAGCUCAACUAGAUAAGAGCAGUGGAAACUACAUAGCUAGAGUACGUUCGGGGCAGAGGGAAUUCCUGGUGUAGCGGUGAAAUGCGUAGAGAUCAGGAAGAACACCGGUGGCGAAGGCGCUCUGCUAGGCCGUAACUGACACUGAGGGACGAAAGCUAGGGGAGCGAAUGGG